GCUUAAUGAGCUGCUUCCUGUGCAUUCAUUCCGGAGAAAGGACUCCAGCUGAGGAACACGAGGAGGAGAAAGCAAAUGUUUCCCAGACUGGUGAAGCCUGUGCCACAAUUUAGCGAGACUGGGGGCUCCUGUCCUGCUCCCGCCCCAUCCCCUUCAGGCCUGACCUUUGCGGAGCUGACCAGGGAACGCUGAAGGCAGCAGUACAAGCCCCGGGAGGUGACUUUUAAGGCGAGGGGCUGGAAGUUCUGAAGCAAACGUCCCCACCAGAUGUGGUUUCUCCGAGGAGUCCUGGCAUCCAACAGGGCUGGCAAGGUCACCGGAAAUAGCAAAGCCACAACGGUGAGCAACAGAAUGACCCCACGGCUGCUUCCAGGGACAGCUUGAAACAAUGCGCACAUAAUGAGUGAGUCUUCCACGAGCACGCAGCUCCAUCUCCGCCGGGGUGGAAGUGUUCAAAAGGCAGCUGUGGGAAUUGGAAGUGUAGUGAUGUCGCUUGGGGCUUGGGUAAUGUUACCCCAAAACACAAGGGACGCUUGCCUCGGGAAACAGCAGAAGCAGGAGGGUCACAUGGCAGGCCACCACGCCAAGGGAGGAUUUUCCAACCUCCCUGUGAAGCAGGACCUAAAACCUCCAUGUGAGAGGGACCCUCUGUAUACUUGGAGGACAAGGGCAUCCUUAUCUCUGAAGACACGGGCACACAGAGAAGAAUCUGAGCAUACGGGCCUUGCAAGUCCCCUGUACUUUAAUACCAUUUGAUCAUGUCUUCCAUAAAACCAUGCACAGAAUCGCCCUUUUCCAUGACUGGCCCAUCAAUUAGCUUUGCCACAACUGUCCAAUCACGCUUUUCCAUGACUAUCCAAUCACAUUUCACCACGAAGUGCCCACCUUUCAUCAGAGCCAGAAUAAAAGAGGAACGUUGUGUCUGAAGUUUCUGUUUCCUUAUGAACACCCC